GAUGAACGCUGGCGGCGUGCUUAACACAUGCAAGUCGGACGGGAAGUGGUGUUUCUAGUGGCGCUCGGGUGAGUAACGCGUGAGAACCUGCCCUGUGGAGGGGCACACCAGCUGGAAACGGUUGCUAAUACCCCGUAUACUGAGGAGCACAAGGAGGUAUCCGCCCGAGGAGGGGCUUGCGUCUGAUUAGCUAGUUGGUGAGGCAAUAGCUUACCACGGCGAUGAUCAGUAGCUGGUCCGAGAGGAUGAUCCGCCACACUGGGACUGAGACACGGCCCAGGCUCCUGCGGGAGGCAGCGGUAGGGAGGUUGCCGCAAUGGGCGAGAGCCGGACGGAGCAAUGGCGCGUGGAGGUAGAAGGCCCACGGGUCGUGGACUGCUUUGCCCAGAGAACAAGCAAUGACGGUAUCUGGGGAAUAAGCAUCGGCUAACUCCGUG
rnacentral:rRNA from 1 species